rnacentral:rRNA from 1 species
UACGUAGGAUGCAGGCGUUAAUCGGAAUUACUGGGCGUAAAGCGUGCGCAGGCGGUUUCUUAAGUCAGAUGUGAAAGCCCCGGGCUUAACCUGGGAACUGCGUUUGAAACUGGGAGACUUGAGUGUGGCAGAGGGGGGUGGAAUUCCACGUGUAGCAGUGAAAUGCGUAGAUAUUGGGAGGAACACCGGUGGCGAAGGCGGCCCCCUGGACCGGUACUGACGCUGAGGCGCGAAAGCGUGGGUAGCAAACGGG